AACCUCAAAGAUAUCCAUACAAUUUCCUUUCCCCCUAAAGCGUUAUCAAUUCUCCAAGUAGCAUAUUUCCUUUCACACUGAAUUAUUUGCCUUAAAUUGUAAAUCAAAUAUGCAAAGCUAAAUAAGAAAAUAAUCACAAUUGAUGAACACUGAUUUAAUCGUCAAAUAUAACUACAAAAUGAGCAAAAAAAAAAAUUACAAAAUCCCUAUAAAAAAAAUCAGUUAAUUGAUACUUACCUUUUUCGUUCAUAGGUAACAACCUAUAGAGUUUGAUGUAUCAUUCAAAGCUUCGAUGGUAAAAUCCAUUUCAAUUCGCGAUUUCUAGUAAUAGGUGAAGAUUCAAGCCGAAAUUCAAAGAUAACAAAAGUAAAGCAAAAAUAAAACUAAAAUCAACUUAAUAACUACUGAAUAAACGAAAAUCAAACUAAAAUAAACGAAAAACACAAAGUAAAACAUAAGCGAAACUCAUCUUGGCGAAGAAUUGAAGAAGUUUGAAGAAGAAUAAGAGCAAAUAGCAGAGAGAAAGAGAGCAGAGAUACCUGAGAAUUGAGAAAUUGAAGUAGGAGAGAGAAAAUAACUUGCAAAAUGAAGGAGGAGAGAGAAAACGCUGAUUUUUUUUUUUUUUUUUUGAAAUUAUGUUUGACCGGGAUAAAUGGUAGCCAUUGGAUGCAAUUGAUCCAACGGUUGUAAUAUGUCCUCACAUAUACCAGGUUCUCACAUAAGGGAUGUGUUCUUACAUGAUCCCAUUUAUAUAUGGGUCGGGAUCCGGUGAGAACCGCCCUUUAUGUGAGAACCACCAUCUAUAUGAGAACCAAUACCAACCGUUACAUUAUAAUGAAAUUCAACAGCUACGAUUAAAAUACAAAGCUGCCAAAUACCUCCACUCCAUUCUCACGGGUCCUCCUUUCUUCCUUAUCUCUCCUCCUCUCUACUCUCACGUUCUCUCUCCUCUCCAUUCUCGUCUCCUUUCUCUCCUUUCUCUCUCCUCCUCUCCAUUUUCAUCUCACGCAUCUCUCCUCUCCAUUGUCUUUGAAGCUUCAGAAGCGGCUCGCCGCCGAUAUUCUCAAGUGUGGUCGUGGUAAGGUUUGGCUUGAUCCUAAUGAAGGCAAUGAAAUCUCCAUAGCUAACUCUCGUACUUUCUUUCUCUCUUCUUUCAUUUCAAUUUUCUUCACUUGUCUUUUUGUUUUGGUUAUUUUCAAUCAAUCGUCAGAUUUUACAAAUGACGAUAUAUCUGCAAAUUUCGGUUUUAAUUUUGGAAGAAAUUAUUUAAUUGAUCAAGUUGAAUGAUUUACUUCGUAUUAUGAACAAGAAAUUAUUUAAUUUCGAUUUUUUUGGUCUAUCUUUGUUCCGUUUUUUAUUGUUUUGUUGCUUUCGAUUUUAAUUUCAUCUUAUUUCUGUUCAAUUUUUUUUGUAUGAUUAUUCAACUCGUUUUUUUGUUUGAUUAUCUACUUCCAAUUUUUUGAUAUUUCGUCAUUAUGGUUCUUUGAAUUUUGGUUUGAUUGACAAUGGCGAGAUAAUCUCCAAUUUUAUUGAGCAUUUGUUUGUCAUUUGAUUCGACAAACAACGGAUAAGAGAAGAGACGAGUUGACAUUUUGAGAAAUUCGACAAUGUCGUCGUUGUCGGCAAUCAGCGAGGAACUCGGCGAGAUUGAUGGACAAAUCAAUGACAUUAUUCGUGCAUUAUCGUUUGCCAUUGAAGUCCGUAAUGGCGUGACCUUUCUUGACCUUAUAGUCAUGCAAAUUGAGCAAGUGUGGAUCCAAAGUGCCUUUGGUUCUGAUGAACUCAUUCAACACACAUGAUGAUACACUAAAGAUUAUUGAAAAAUAUACCGAUUCAAAUGUUGAGAUUCAUACGUUUAAUGAGGUUUGUUACUUUAGUUGAGUUCAUGUCUCUUGUUUUAAGUACUACAGUGUGAUGCUGUGGAUUAUUAAUUCCACAUCUUUGAUUAUUACUUUACCUUAUAAUCAGCUUUGAUGGGGCACUUGGUUGCCUACUGUUGCUGGGAAAAUUGCUUAACUUUUCAAAGCUGAAAUCCUAGCAAUAUUCAAAAGGCAAAGAUUCCUGAAAACUUGAUGAUAUAUUGAGCUUUACCAGCUUUUGCUUCCUUUUUCAGCUUGACCAAACUAAUGCAUAUUGGUCAUUUGUAACUUGGGGAUGGUUAGUGUUGCAAGUUAAAAAUCAAUAUGUUUCCAUUGAGUUGCAUAUGGGCUGGUAUUCAAUUUUUGGAUUGGAUACACUUUUAGCUCUUCCUUUCCUGAGCAUUUCUACUAUGUUCCUGCUUAUACUAUGCACUUGGUAUGGCUGCAUUGAAGAUUAAAAAUCUAUUAACUAGCUAAGUGCAUAUUCUUGUGCUGAUCUAAACAUGUAUUAACACAAAAAGGUUUUAUGUAUGAACCCUGUAUUUGUGUUGUCUUUCAUCUGUUCAUUUUAUAUGGAAUCACCACUGUAUGCUGUUUAUACAGUGGUGUUGAUGUAGUUUACAAUGGA